rnacentral:rRNA from 1 species
AAUCAACGCUGGCGGCGUGCCUAACACAUGCAAGUCGAACGAGAAGGUGACUUCGGUCACUGGAUAGUGGCGUCCGGGUGAGUAACACGUAGGUAAUCUACCUUCGGGUGGGGAAUAACGUCUCGAAAGAGACGCUAAUACCGCAUAAUGCAGCGGCACCUAAUGGUGAUUAGUUGUUAAAGCGGGGGAGUCUUCGGACCUCGCGCCUGAAGAGGAGCCUGCGGCAGAUUAGCUAGUUGGUGAGGUAAUGGCUCACCAAGGCUUCGAUCUGUAGCUGGUCUGAGAGGACGGCCAGCCACACUGGCACUGACACACGGGCCAGACUCCUACGGGAGGCAGCAGUGGGGAAUUUUGGGCAAUGGGCGAAANCCUGACCCAGCAACGCCGCGUGAAGGAGGAAAUCCUUCGGGAUGUAAACUUCAUAAGUAAGGGAAGAAAGCUGCGGAUCGAAUAAGUCCGCAGUCCGACGGUACCUUACGUAAGCCACGGCUAACUACG